UAACCUGCUAAAUAGACCGCUUAAGCGUGAGAAUGCUUGAGGAGGUGUUCUUAGAGGGACUGUCUGUGACUAACAGAUGGAAGUUUGAGGCAAUAACAGGUCUGUGAUGCCCUUAGAUGUUCUGGGCCGCACGCGCGCUACACUGAUAAAGGCAGCGAGUUGCUUCGGCAGGCCUUGACCGGAAGGACAGGGGAAACUUGUGAAACUUUAUCGUGAUGGGGAUUGACCAUUGCAAUUAUUGGUCAUGAACGAGGAAUUCCUAGUAAGUGCGAGUCAUCAGCUCGCGUUGAUUACGUCCCUGCCCUUUGUACACACCGCCCGUCGAU
rnacentral:rRNA from 1 species